rnacentral:lncRNA from 1 species
UGGUCUUUGGUACAUGGGAUUUGGCAUUUGGUAAGUGAUAUUUUGUAGAGGUCUUUGGUUUAGAUUUGGUGGUGGAGUUUGAGUUCGAAGUCUCUCUUGUUGGACUUGGUUCAUUUGGUGAGUUAUUGGCCUUUGUAGGGUCCGGUUAGGAGAGGUUUGGGAUUCGUUUAGUGGCUGGUUUUGUGGAACUCUUGGAGGAUUAAGCAUUUGGU